rnacentral:rRNA from 1 species
UAGUUUGAUCCUGGCUCAGAUUGAACGCUGGCGGCAUGCCUUACACAUGCAAGUCGAACGGUAACAGGUCUUCGGAUGCUGACGAGUGGCGAACGGGUGAGUAAUACAUCGGAACGUGCCCGAUCGUGGGGGAUAACGAAGCGAAAGCUUUGCUAAUACCGCAUACGAUCUACGGAUGAAAGCAGGGGACCGCAAGGCCUUGCGCGAACGGAGCGGCCGAUGGCAGAUUAGGUAGUUGGUGGGAUAAAAGCUUACCAAGCCGACGAUCUGUAGCUGGUCUGAGAGGACGACCAGCCACACUGGGACUGAGACACGGCCCAGACUCCUACGGGAGGCAGCAGUGGGGAAUUUUGGACAAUGGGCGAAAGCCUGAUCCAGCCAUGCCGCGUGCAGGAUGAAGGCCUUCGGGUUGUAAACUGCUUUUGUACGGAACGAAAAGACUCUGGUUAAUACCUGGGGUCCAUGACGGUACCGUAAGAAUAAGCACCGGCUAACUACGUGCCAGCAGCCGCGGUAAUACGUAGGGUGCAAGCGUUAAUCGGAAUUACUGGGCGUAAAGCGUGCGCAGGCGGUUAUAUAAGACAGAUGUGAAAUCCCCGGGCUCAACCUGGGAACUGCAUUUGUGACUGUAUAGCUAGAGUACGGCAGAGGGGGAUGGAAUUCCGCGUGUAGCAGUGAAAUGCGUAGAUAUGCGGAGGAACACCGAUGGCGAAGGCA